rnacentral:tRNA from 1 species
CACCUGAGGGAUAGCUCAGUUGGUAGAGCAUGAGACUCUUAAUCUCAGGGUCUUGGGUUUGAGCCCCAUGUUGGGUGA